UGGUUGAUCCUGCCCGUAGUCAUAAGCUUGUUUCAAAGAAUAAACCAUGCAUGUUUAAGUAUAAACACGUUUUACUGGGAAACUGCGAAUGGGUCAUUAAAUCAGAUAUAGUUUAUUUGAUGGUUUUUGGUACAUGGAUAACUGUGGUAAUUCUAGAGGUAAAACAUGCGUACAAAAACCCGACUUUUGGAAGGGGUGUAUUUAUUAGAUAAAAAUCAACCCUGUUGGUGAAUCAUGAUAACUUCUUGGAUUGCAAGGCCUUGUGCUGGCGAUACUCCAUUCAAAUAUUUGCCCUAUCAACUGUCGAUGGUAGGAUAGAGGCCUACCAAGGUUGCAACGGGUAACGGGGAAUAAGGGUUUGAUUCCGGAGAGGGAGCCUGAGAAACGGCUACCACAUCCAAGGAAGGCAGCAGGCGGGCAAAUUACCCAAUCCCGACACGGGGAGGUAGUGGCAAUAUGUAACAAUAUACGGCUUUAUCGUUGUAUAAUUUUAAAAGGGACAAUUUAAAUCCCUUAACGAGGAACAAUU
rnacentral:rRNA from 1 species